GUUUUUUCCUCUUAAAAUUCAAACAUGAUGGGAUUUUCUCCCUUGCUAGCUUUUUCUCCCACAACUACUGUUGGUGUUCAAUGAAAACAGUCACUGCAAAAAAUUUCUUAAAAGUAAAGGCCCUUGCCCCCUUCCGACACUCAGAAAUGACCACUGGUUCAUUUUGUUCACCGUCCUUAUAGAUGAUGAUGUCUGGGAUCCUUCCAAAAUUUUUGCGUGGGAAGACCGUGGGUGGAGUGUGGGUUGGGCGGGAUUGACUAGACUGGAGGGGGCGGGGCAGGGGGAGGGGCCACGCACAGGCCCAGGUGAGAGAGCUGGUGACGUCAAGUUCUGUGUGUCUGGAGCUUAGACAGUUGGGGAGACAGGCAGAGUGAUGGUCAGGGGCUACAUCACACCAGGCCUUCAGGAUCAGUUAGAACCUUGUCCUUAGGAUGCUGGAGAAACACGGAAAGGCUUCAACCAGGAACACGUGAUCAGAUUGGUGUUUUACAGAACUCCCUCUAACUGCCAAGUGGAGGAAACGGAAUUUAAUUCUCCUCCCUUUGAGAGUACGCUGGAUGCUGUGACUUGCUCCUAACACACGCACGGUAAGGAAAGGGCAGAACAGUAAUACCGUGGGCAAGAUACCUGGUGGAUGCCACCUUUAUGAAAUGAGGUCACCUGAGUCUCAGUGGGAUUCAUCCCCAGCCUAUAGUCUAACUGGGAGAACAUGAAAAAUACCAGACUGAGGGACAGUCUACAAAAUACCUGACCAAUAUGCCUCAAAACUGUCAAGAUCAUGAAAGACAGGGAAAGACUGAGAAACUGUCACAGAUUGGAGGAGACCAAGGAGACAGGACAAGUAAAUGCAACAGGGUAUCCUGGAUUGGAUCCUGGAACAGAAAAAGAACAUUAGUGGAAAAACGGGGGGGAUAUGAAUAAAGUUCGGACUUCUGUUAAUCCAACACUAACCAAUGUUAACGUCUUGGUUUUGACAAAUGUAAAACUAUUGUUAUGUAAGAUGUUAACGUGCGGGGGAGCUGGGUGUAGGAUGUAUGGGAAGUCUCUGUACUAUCUUUGCAAUCUUUCUGUAAACCCAAAAUUAUUAAAUAAAAACAUUUUAAAGUA